rnacentral:rRNA from 1 species
AGAGUUUGAUCAUGGCUCAGGAUGAACGCUGGCGGCGUGCCUAACACAUGCAAGUCGAGCGGUAUAUAUCUAAACAAAACUUCGGUCUAGUGAGGGUAUAGAGAGCGGCGGACGGGUGAGUAACGCGUAGGCAACCUGCCCCAUACACAGGGAUAGCCUCGGGAAACCGGGAUUAAAACCUGAUAAUGCGAGAAGUUCACAUGGACAACUCGCCAAAGAUUUAUCGGUAUGGGAUGGGCCUGCGUCUGAUUAGCUAGUUGGUGGGGUAACGGCCUACCAAGGCGACGAUCAGUAGCCGACCUGAGAGGGUAAUCGGCCACAUUGGAACUGAGACACGGUCCAAACUCCUACGGGAGGCAGCAGUGGGGAAUAUUGCACAAUGGGCGAAAGCCUGAUGCAGCAACGCCGCGUGAGCGAUGAAGGCCUUUGGGUCGUAAAGCUCUGUCCUUGGGGAAGAAAAAAAUGACGGUACCCUUGGAGGAAGCCCCGGCUAACUACGUGCCAGCAGCCGCGGUAAUACGUAGGGGGCAAGCGUUAUCCGGAAUUAUUGGGCGUAAAGAGUGCGUAGGUGGUUUUGUAAGCGCGGGGUGAAAGGCAAUAGCUCAACUAUUGUAAGCCUUGCGAACUGUAAGACUUGAGUGCAGGAGAGGAAAGCGGAAUUCCUAGUGUAGCGGUGAAAUGCGUAGAUAUUAGGAGGAACACCAGUGGCGAAGGCGGCUUUCUGGACUGUAACUGACACUGAGGCACGAAAGCGUGGGGAGCAAACAGGAUUAGAUACCCUGGUAGUCCACGCCGUAAACGAUGAGCACUAGGUGUCGGGGCCGCAAGGCUUCGGUGCCGCAGUUAACGCAUUAAGUGCUCCGCCUGGGGAGUACGCACGCAAGUGUGAAACUCAAAUGAAUUGACGG